rnacentral:rRNA from 1 species
UACGUAGGGCGCAAGCGUUGUCCGGAAUUAUUGGGCGUAAAGAGCUCGUAGGCGGUCUGUCGCGUCGGAUGUGAAAGCCCGGGGCUUAACCCCGGGUCUGCAUUCGAUACGGGCAGACUAGAGUGUGGUAGGGGAGAUCGGAAUUCCUGGUGGUAGCGGUGAAAUGCGCAGAUAUCAGGAGGAACACCGGUGGCGAAGGCGGAUCUCUGGGCCAUUACUGACGCUCAGGCACGAAAGCGUGGGGAGCAAACAGG